AUGCUACUUUCUAGCUUCAGAAUGAGAAGUCUUGGGGCUACUUUCAUGCUUGGGGUUUGUCUUUUUGCUAUCAAAUAUACUUCAUUUUCUUGCAGAACAAUAAACAUAAAUGACUUCAAACAUGGCUGCUUCUUCAGCUGCAAUGCAGACAAAGGUGUCUUCACCACUCUUCAACGCCAGUCUGUUGUGAAUUGGUCAGAGAAGGAACAGAAUCCACAACAGCCUGUGAGUAGUAUGAAAUUUCAACUGGAUGACCACGUAAGAGCACACAGUGGUACUCUGCUGACACCCAACCUCAACACAAAUGUGUCAAAUGAGAGGUAUGAUGCAAGAUCACCACCAGGUGAGUGGUGGAAUACCAAGAGAGUAGUAGCUGAAAGGCUUAAAAAAUUGAAAAAAAUCUAAGUUCUCCUAUACCGAAUGUAAAUUUUCACUCUAAAUCUUUUGAGUGUAAAGUCUAAGCUUUUAAAAAUCUACACUGUCUCAUUUUUGUGGUCCUGAUAAAUGUAUAAUAAUACAUAUUAACAGAUUCAUCUAUGUACUGCUAUACCACAUAAGUAAACACAGUAUAUGGCAUCAUGUAAGAGUAUUCCUAAUUGAAAGUACAGCUAAAAUUCAAACACAAUAUUACAAAGGAGAAAAGUUAAUAUAAGUCAUUUCACAAAAAGCUCCAGAUUUGUCAUGCCAAGAGAAUCACUCUCUGCUUUCCCUUACCACUAAAUUCUUUUCCAGUUCUAAAACAAUUCUGAAGAGCUGGAUAUCUAUUGAGAGUUCAAAUGGUAUUAUAUAUAGCUUUUUCUUUUUUCUUUUUUUAAAGGAUACAUUUUACAAUCUAAACAAUAAAUUUGAAGCUUUAAAUUCUUGCUUAUCUUUU
rnacentral:lncRNA from 1 species